GGAUUACCAAUGCUUUCUCCCUUUUCAAGGAGUGGGCGGGCAUGUUUGUCCCGGGGAGCUAUUGUCAUCCUGGGAUGCGGAGUAGGUCUCUGGCUUAUUGGCUGUUUAAAAAGAGAACAUGCCAGACACAAAAUGGUUGUUUACCAGGCUAUGACCACCAUUAAAAAGGGUGCUUCUCCCAACAUAUGGCUGGCCUCUUUGAAAGAUCAAGAGUUCGCCCUAGAUCAUUUUUGUCACAGUCAUGUGGAGUCAUUGUAUCCAGGGACGGGCAACUUUCCUCGAACUCGGACCAACCUAAGACACGGGGCCCGGUGGC
rnacentral:lncRNA from 1 species